rnacentral:lncRNA from 1 species
CGCCCCUCCGCCUUACAUUCUUGAUAACCAAUACCAUGUUAGGUUGGUGACCAUUUAUAAAACAAGGUUAGGAGGUGCAGAGGCGCUGAGGGUACACUGAGAAAGAGAAGUGUGGCUGGAUGGGGACACCCCAGAUUCCACCCUACGUUGUCGUCACAGCAGCCCUCCCCCUACACCUGUUUUGCAGAUGGGGAAACAGAGGCUCAGAGAAGUCCAGUCAUUUGCCUUGUUGGGAAGCAGCCGGUAGGUAGAACAGUGGUUUUGAUGCGUUCAACCCGCCAGAGAUUCUAGAAGCUUGGGGCUCUCUGUAUAUGACCUUACUUUACCCACACAGCGCUGAGAGGUCACCAUCAUUAUCUUCCUUUCAUUUGGAAGAAACUGGGGCGCUGAGUGCCGAUGUGAUUUCCACCAAGUUACGCGAGAAGGUGCUCUGGGACUUGCCCUGCUGUCGACUUCCCAUUUUCUAAGCAGAAGACAGAAAUAGACCACGGAAGGCACCAAGGAGACCCAGACGUGCCUACAGCCCCUGGGAAAAGCUCUGGGAAGUCAGCACCUUACCAGACACAGGUCUCUAUCUUUUUUUCCAUGCCCACCCAUCUACCUGUGAUUUACUGAGGGUG